rnacentral:rRNA from 1 species
GAUGAACGCUGACAGAAUGCUUAACACAUGCAAGUCGAACGAAGCACUUGUGCUUAGUGGCGAAUGGGUGAGUAACACGUACUUAAUCUACCUCUAGGUUUGGGACAACAAUUGGAAACGAUUGCUAAUACCGAAUAUUCCUUUUUCUCGCAUGAGAGAUUGGUAAAAGCCCGUUUGGGUCGCUAAGAGAUGAGAGUGCGGUACAUUAGUUAGUUGGCAGGGUAAAGGCCUACCAAGACGAUGAUGUAUAGCGGGGUUGAGAAGCUGAACCGCCACACUGGGACUGAGAUACGGCCCAGACUCCUACGGGAGGCAGCAGUAGGGAAUAUUCCACAAUGAGCGAAAGCUUGAUGGAGCGACACAGCGUGCAGGAAGACGCCCUUCGGGGUGUAAACUGCUGUUAUAAGGGAAGAAAAACUAGACUAGGAAAUGAGUUUAGCUUGACGGUACCUUAUCAGAAAGCACCGGCAAACUAUGUGCCAGCCGCCGCCGUAAC